rnacentral:lncRNA from 1 species
AGAUUCACGAAUAAGCAAGGUCGAAAGCUAGGGUACACCUGCGAUUUACCAACAAACAAAUUCGCAAUUUUGCUUUGACAAAAUACUGAUUUCGAGAGAUUAAGAGUGGGAGGCAAUACUGCAUUUUUACUAGUGCAGAGUACUUGGGAUCCACGAAUGAGCAAGGUCGAAAGCUAGGGUGCACCUGCUUCACCAACAAACAAAUUUGCA